CAGUAGCCACGGUAAUACGAAGGGUGCAAGCGUUAAUCGGAAUUACUGGGCGUAAAGCGCGCGUAGGUGGUUUGGUAAGAUGGAUGUGAAAUCCCCGGGCUCAACCUGGGAACUGCAUCCAUAACUGCCUGACUAGAGUACGGUAGAGGGUGGUGGAAUUUCCUGUGUAGCGGUGAAAUGCGUAGAUAUAGGAAGGAACACCAGUGGCGAAGGCGACCACCUGGACUGAUACUGACACUGAGGUGCGAAAGCGUGGGGAGCAAACAGGAUUAGAUACCCGUGUAGUCCCUGUCUCUUAUAC
rnacentral:rRNA from 1 species